CAUUUUUCUCCCUCAGGCUUUCAUAAAUGCCUGCUUUCAUGUUUUACUGCUUGAAAACAAAUUGUUCUACUUCUAGGUAAAGAAGCAUAUCCCUUUGAUAUUUGAAGCAACUGAUUUGUUCACUUGACUUUGAUGGUUUCUUGAUGUUCAAAGCAGUUUAUCUCUUCAAUCAGGACCAUUACUAAAUUCUUCCAUGAUGCAGAAACACCUUUGUGGAUUCCAGACAGAUUGAUACAUCACUAC